rnacentral:lncRNA from 1 species
UUUCAGUUCCUUGGGGUCCAUUGUUUUAACAGUCUGAGAGCCAAAGGAAACGCAGUUCCUGCAAGGCAGUGAUUGUGAUGGGGUCAGGAUCAGCUGGGAGCCUGUGCUGCCUCAUUCCCAUGCCAGAACUCAGGAGUUUCCUCUCAUCUAAGGCUAGAGAACAGUGAGCUGGGGUAAUGUAGCUACUGCACUUGUGAGAAAAACAAACUGAAGGACACAUAUUUGCCAUCAGACACAGCACUCUGAUUCCAGUGCCCAAGGUAGACAUUGCUAAUCGACCACAGGACCAUUUAUUUCUUUUCUAGAACAGUCACUGUUAAUGGAUCAUCCAAGACUCAUGAGGUGAAUGAAACCACUUGGUAUCUGUGAUGGGUGAGCUCUAAAGAUGGAGUUCAUUUUUCCAGGGUUGCCAGUAGGUGACUGAAGAGUUGGUUUCUUAAGCAUCAUGGACUGGUUGUCGAGAAGGAACUGCAGGCUUGCUUGCCUUUUCUACUGUAUUUCAUGAGAGCAGUUGGAGGAAGCCCCAUCACCUAGCCACCUCACCUCACCUGUUCCUGCUGGAGGAACCACAGCUCUGCCUUAGGGGAACACAACUGCAUCAAAUGGAUCUACGCCUCGGGGCAAUGCAUUAUUCUUUAUUGAUUCCAACUCUACCUUAUUAUUGUUGCU